AUUGAACGCUGGCGGCAGGCCUAACACAUGCAAGUCGAGCGGGGUUUUCGGACCUAGCGGCGGACGGGUGAGUAAUGCGUAGGAAGCUGCCCGAUAGAGGGGGAUACCAGUUGGAAACGACUGUUAAUACCGCAUAAUGUCUACGGACCAAAGUGUGGGACCUUCGGGCCACAUGCUAUCGGAUGCGCCUACGUGGGAUUAGCUAGUUGGUGAGGUAAUGGCUCACCAAGGCGACGAUCUCUAGCUGGAUUGAGAGGAUGAUCAGCCACACUGGAACUGGGACACGGUCCAGACUCCUACGGGAGGCAGCAGUGGGGAAUAUUGGACAAUGGGCGCAAGCCUGAUCCAGCCAUGCCGCGUGUGUGAAGAAGGCCUUCGGGUUGUAAAGCACUUUCAGCGAGGAGGAAGGGUGGUGUGUUAAUAGCACAUCAUUUUGACGUUACUCGCAGAAGAAGCACCGGCUAACUCUGUGCCAGCAGCCGCCGUAAAAC
rnacentral:rRNA from 1 species